UGGUAAUCAAUGGAAAUUAAUUUGCGUGAAAUCAGAGAUAAGAAUUGCAGCAUUCAAGCGGUGACGUUGUGUUGAGAACGUAUCAGAACACAUUGCACAGUGCAGAUAGAUUGUACCAGAUCACGAUGAGGCUGAUAUGGCUCACUGCACUUCUCCUGAUAGCGGCUACCUCGUUAGUAGCAGGACGUUGUGGCACUUUAAAUUAUUUUUGCGGUCCAAAUCGACCUCCUUGUUGCAUGGGAUUCCGUUGCAUAAAAGCGGGAAAGUACCACUUCUGCGUGGACAUGUGGGAUGUCCGGUAACUUAGACUGUCUGCUUUGCCGCUCUGGAUUCAUUAGAAGUACGCAAAUAGAUCUUCCACGCCAUUUUUCUUUAUUGCAUGUAAUUGAAUAAAACUAGUUGUCUCGCAAUUAUUAACAUUAAAGAUUUAAGAAUU